rnacentral:pre_miRNA from 1 species
UUUGUACUCCCUCCGUCCCAAAAUUCUUGUCUUAAAUUUUUCUAAAUACGGAUGUAUCUAGUUAUAUUUUAGUGUUAGAUACAUCCGUAUCUAAACAAAUAUAAGACAAGAAUUUUGGGACGGAGGGAAUACUAC